UACGUAGGGUGCAAGCGUUAUCCGGAAUUAUUGGGCGUAAAGAGCUCGUAGGCGGUUUGUCGCGUCUGCUGUGAAAGCCCGAGGCUCAACCUCGGGCCUGCAGUGGGUACGGGCAGACUAGAGUGCGGUAGGGGAGAUUGGAAUUCCUGGUGUAGCGGUGGAAUGCGCAGAUAUCAGGAGGAACACCGAUGGCGAAGGCAGAUCUCUGGGCCGUAACUGACGCUGAGGAGCGAAAGCGUGGGGAGCGAACAGG
rnacentral:rRNA from 1 species